GUACUUGGUGGACGUGGUGUAACUCAGACACCACAUUCUCUGUGGUGACUCCCUUUUGUAAAACCAUAGCUGCUGGCCCUUGGCAUCCUGUGACUUCUAAAACAGUGACAAAACAAGAAAAAGAAGAUAGAAGGGAAAAAUGAGAAGUGAUCACGGGAAGAAGAAAAUGUGGAGGAACAAAGACACAUGGUGAUACUGGGGUUGGAGUUACUUUGGAACUCCAGAGUGGCAUGUAACAGCCUUCUUAUCCAAGUCCUGGCACAGGCCUGGUUACCUACUAAAAGUUGCUAUGGACCUCCCAGGUUCAAGGUCAUGUAACCUGAGCAUGCCCAGAUGAACCAAAUGUGCAACCACUGGUGGAACCUAAGUGCUCAGACCAAGGAACAGGGACUGAAUUAAGAAGCAGACACCACUGACAUCAUGACUCCCAGCAGCAACUCAUUGCAAGCUCCAAUCAGAUCACCCCUCAUUAUCCUAUACUUAAGAAACCUGACGCAGGCUGGGCGCUGGUGACUCAUGCGUGUAAUCUCAGCACUUUGGGAAGCCACGGAUGCAGAGAGUCUUAGGAAGAAUUUGAUGUGAUUGGAGGUGGGGAAAGGUACCCUAAAAUACUUAGUCUCCUGAAUCGCUGGGAUUUUAGGCACAAGCCACUGCACCUGGCAUCAAUUGUAUAUUGAAAAGCAGAAAGAGGAGAUCAAGAGGUAACUUUCAGGUUUUGAACAUAGAGGUUAGCAAGAAAAAAAGGUCAUAGGAAUGGUGGAAGAGGUGAGAUGAAUGGUGGAAAAGAAAGGGGAAGAGAUAAGGUAAGUCUGACUAACAAUUUAUUUUAACUUUCUCCAAUUCCUCUAUAACAUAAAUGCAGGUUUGCAAGAUUUUGUAGGUGAUUGUAUACGUAGAGGUAAAAUAAAGUUAUAAUGUGAAUACUGUUGGGGGGAUGCAAUAUCCUAAUCUGAAAAACAAAAACUACAUGAAAACACAGAACAACUCUGCCCAUUUUUCCAAACUAACAUCGUUUUUUGUCAUUAAAAGAAAAAUCUUGUUCUCUCUUUCUGCUGUGAUGUGUGUGCAUGUCUGGCUUGCACGGAAAUGAGGACCUGAAGAGAGAUGGGGGAUGUACGAUACGGGCAUAAAAUCCACUUUGUAAACAUGUUCAUCAUUCCAUAAUGGCAUCCCCUUUGGUAUUUACAGAAGAUUUCUCCUUGUGUGUUUUACACAAACGUGAGUAUGACUAACGUGAAUUUCUGCUCAUUUGCCUUUUCUAGGUGGAAUUGUGUAGCCCAAUAAACACAAUAAUAAAGAAGGCUUCCUAAAGACAAAGUGAGGAUUUCUCAGUGUGCUUUUUAUUAAAGGAUGGAGAAAAUCUUGCAUUUGGCUACAGGUUGACAUUUUCAAAAGCCUACUCUGAGACAAUUAUGUAUCAUACACAUUUUUAAAGUUUUUAGAAAAUUGUCAAUGCUGUAUAUGCUACUUAAGAAAACAUGGAAUAAAAAAAAAAAAAAAGAAGUGAA